rnacentral:rRNA from 1 species
AACAGACGCUGGCGGCGUGCCUAAUACAUGCAAGUCGAACGGGGAAAGCUUUCGGGUGAGUACUAGUGGCGCACGGGUGAGGAACGCGUGGAUAAUCUGCCUUAGAGUGGGGGAUAACUAGUCGAAAGAUUAGCUAAUACCGCAUAAGACCACAGGAGCUGCGGCUCAAGGGGUCAAAGGUUUUUCGCUCUAAGAUGAGUCCGCGUAAGAUUAGCUAGUUGGUGAGGUAACGGCUCACCAAGGCGACGAUCUUUAACUGGUCUGAGAGGAUGAUCAGUCACACUGGAACUGAGACACGGUCCAGACUCCUACGGGAGGCAGCAGUAGGGAAUAUUGCACAAUGGAGGAAACUCUGAUGCAGCGACGCCGCGUGAGUGAUGAAGGCCUUCGGGUCGUAAAGCUCUGUCGCAGGGGAAUAACACAAUGAAUGUACCCUGUAAGAAAGGAUCGGCUAACUUCGUGCCAGCCGCCGCGGUAACAC